rnacentral:rRNA from 1 species
AGUGAACGCUGGCGGUAGGCCUAACACAUGCAAGUCGAACGGCAGCACAGUAAGAGCUUGCUCUUACGGGUGGCGAGUGGCGGACGGGUGAGGAAUACAUCGGAAUCUACUUUUUCGGGGGGGAUAACGGAGGGAAACUGACGCUAAUACCGCAUACGACCUACGGGUGAAAGCAGGGGAUCUUCGGACCUUGCGCGACUGAAUGAGCCGAUGUCGGAUUAGCUAGUUGGCGGGGUAAAGGCCCACCAAGGCGACGAUCCGUAGCUGGUCUGAGAGGAUGAUCAGCCACCCUGGAACUGAGACACGGUCCAGACUCCUACGGGAGGCAGCAGUGGGGAAUCUUGGACAAUGGGCGCAAGCCUGAUCCAGCCAUACCGCGUGGGUGAAGAAGGCCUUCGGGUUGUAAAGCCCUUUUGUUGGGAAAGAAAAGCAGCAGGUUAAUACCCCGCUGUUCUGACGGUACCCAAAGAGUAAGCACCGGCUAACUUCGUG